GAAAGGGCAAUCUAGAACACGAAACCUCUACUCUACAGAAUCGUAAUUAGAAACGUCAAUGGCGAGAGAUAAGAUAAAUCAUGAAACUUAGCUUAAUCACAAGGUCAAAAUCUUCAUUAGUUUUGAAAAGUCUAUUUCUUCAAACUUAAAUUCCAAGAAAAGCACCCAACCUCACCCUCUCCUCAAUACCCCAUCACCUGAAUCCUUUACAAACAGGGGAAAGAACACCACUGCACCUUCUUCUUCUUCUAAGAGAUGGCUUAUGUAGACCAUGCCUUCUCCAUUACGGACGACGACAUAAUGAUCGAGUCAUCUUACGUUGUCAACAAUCGCCCUCCCGUCAAGGAGAUUGCUCUCGCCGUCUCUCUCCUAGUUUUCGGCGUCACCGGCAUCGUUUUGGGCAUUUUUAUGGCUUCCAACAAAAUCGGCGGUGACCGUGCUCAUGGGCUUUUCUUUGCGAUUCUCGGAGUAGUACUGUUUAUACCUGGAUUUUAUUAUACAAGGAUUGCUUACUAUGCUUAUAAGGGAUACAAAGGCUUCUCCUUCGCCAACAUACCACCCGUCUAGUUAAUGAUAAGCUCAAGCUCCAGUUUGCCCCAGCUACUCAUGUACAUAUCUUUCUCCAGUUGUGCUUAUUUCUUUAUUAUUGUACUUGUGGUUCUUUGCUUUUUGUUUCUUUCAAUAGUUUUGUUUUUUAAUUGUUCUGAACAGCCGGUUUUUGUUGCAAUAUAGUUGAAUAGUGUCUCAAGUUAUCCUACUCUUAGUUGAUAGUCUAGUCUAUAUCAAAUUCCUUCUUUGUUUUGUGUUUUGCUUCCUUUGAUGGAUGAGUUUCAUAACAUUCAGCUCUUACCUGAAAGCAUUUACCAUCAAUAGUUAGUUCCUUGUCUUGCAUAAUGCCAUUUGGAUAUCAAAUUUCAUCUUCAGUGUCAGUGUGUAAUGCAUUCAGUUCCUUAACUUGCACAAUGCUGCGCUACCAUAUGGUAAGAUCACGUCCAUACAAUAUAAUAAUUUCAAAAUUCAUCUUCAGUGUCAUUGUGUAUGUAAUGCAAAACUGAUGAGCUUUUGCUUUUGAUCCGUUACCAUGCAUAUACCUGCACUUUUCACCCAAACUCAAAUUUAAUGUUGGAUCUACUUUUCUUUUGUUCAUUAUCGAGCUCUCAUCCUGGAGAUGACUGCUUUGCCAUUGAGCUAAAGCUCAUUGGUGUGUUCGUCUUACUAACUGAGAUUAAUUGAAGUAAGAAUGCAACUCAUCCAAUAUAAACACUUGCAAGUGUGUCAUAAUAUUCUUCCAUUAAACAAACUAAUAACAAAAU
rnacentral:misc_RNA from 1 species